rnacentral:rRNA from 1 species
GAUGAACGCUGGCGGCGUGCCUAAUACAUGCAAGUCGAGCGAACGGACGAGAAGCUUGCUUCUCUGAUGUUAGCGGCGGACGGGUGAGUAACACGUGGAUAACCUACCUAUAAGACUGGGAUAACUUCGGGAAACCGGAGCUAAUACCGGAUAAUAUUUUGAACCGCAUGGUUCAACAGUGAAAGACGGUCUUGCUGUCACUUAUAGAUGGAUCCGCGCUGCAUUAGCUAGUUGGUAAGGUAACGGCUCACCAAGGCAACGAUGCAUAGCCGACCUGAGAGGGUGAUCGGCCACACUGGAACUGAGACACGGUCCAGACUCCUACGGGAGGCAGCAGUAGGGAAUCUUCCGCAAUGGGCGAAAGCCUGACGGAGCAACGCCGCGUGAGUGAUGAAGGACUUCGGAUCGUAAAACUCUGUUAUUAGGGAAGAACAUAUGUGUAAGUAACUGUGCACAUCUUGACGGUACCUAAUCAGAAAGCCACGGCUAACUACGUG